rnacentral:rRNA from 1 species
ACGAACCGUGCGAACGUUGUUCGGAAUCACUGGGCUUAAAGGGCGCGUAGGCGGUUCGUUAAGUCCUGUGUGAAAUCCCCCGGCUCAACUGGGGAACUGCACAGGAAACUGGCGGGCUUGAGUUCGGCAGAGGGGGGUGGAAUUCCACGUGUAGCAGUGAAAUGCGUAGAUAUGUGGAGGAAUACCGAUGGCGAAGGCAGCCCCCUGGGAUAACACUGACGCUCAUGCACGAAAGCGUGGGGAGCAAACAGGA